GCCAAAUAUUUAAGUCGACAACGAGCGAGUAUCUAAAAUAAGUAACAAGUCAUCACAUUCCAAUUAUAUUCAAAUUUUUUACGACAUGUGUGGCAUCUGAUUUUUUUAGGGGGAAACGCUCUAAAGUGCCGAAAUGACCGGAUACCUUUAAAAAAGACUGCUGUGCCAACGAAAGUUAAGGUUCCGUGGUGAUAUGGUACUACUGGCUGUCAU